GACGAACGCUGGCGGCGUGCUUAACACAUGCAAGUCGAACGGAAAGGCUCCAGCUUGCUGGCGUACUCGAGUGGCGAACGGGUGAGUAACACGUGGGUAAUCUGCCCUGCACUCUGGGAUAAGCCUGGGAAACUGGGUCUAAUACUGGAUAUGACCUUUCUCCUUAUGGGGUUUGGUGGAAAGUUUUUCGGUGUAGGAUGAGCCCGCGGCCUAUCAGCUUGUUGGUGGGGUGAUGGCCUACCAAGGCGACGACGGGUAGCCGGCCUGAGAGGGUGAUCGGCCACAUUGGGACUGAGAUACGGCCCAGACUCCUACGAGAGGCAGCAGUGGGGAAUAUUGCACAAUGGGCGGAAGCCUGAUGCAGCGACGCCGCGUGAGGGAUGACGGCCUUCGGGUUGUAAACCUCUUUCAGCAGGGACGAAGCGUAAGUGACGGUACCUGCAGAAGAAGCACCGGCUAACUAUGUG
rnacentral:rRNA from 1 species